CUAAGAAAGUGCAAAAACAAGAGAAAAAUAAAAAAAAUGAUGAAUCGAGAAAAAAAAAGAAAAAAAAAUUCGACAACUCGAAGAUUCAAAAGAAAGAAGCACGGAAAAGGGAAGUCGGUGAAAAAGAAAUAAGAAAAGAAAACCGAUGAAAUAAAAGAAACAAACACAGGAUGUAACAUCGACUCUGAACCAAAAGCCAGUUGUUU
rnacentral:lncRNA from 1 species